CCAAGAUAAAGGGUGAAGCUGCCAGCAUGAUCUAACGACGGCAUUGCUCUGCUGCUGCAGUGAGGCUUGCGAGUGAUGGUUAGAUCAUGCUGUGACAGUUUCACUCUUUCCCUUU
rnacentral:pre_miRNA from 7 species